rnacentral:rRNA from 1 species
AGCGAACGCUGGCGGCAGGCCUAACACAUGCAAGUCGAACGAACCUUUCGGGGUUAGUGGCGGACGGGUGAGUAACACGUGGGAACGUGCCUUUAGGUUCGGAAUAACUCAGGGAAACUUGUGCUAAUACCGAAUGUGCCCUUCGGGGGAAAGAUUAAUCGCCUUUAGAGCGGCCCGCGUCUGAUUAGCUAGUUGGUUGAGGUAAUGGCUCACCAAGGCGACGAUCAGUAGCUGGUCUGAGAGGAGGAUCAGCCACAUUGGGACUGAGACACGGCCCAAACUCCUACGGGAGGCAGCAGUGGGGAAUCUUGCGCAAUGGGCGAAAGCCUGACGCAGCCAUGCCGCGUGAAUGAUGAAGGUCGUAGGAUUGUAAAAUUCUUUCACCGGGGACGAUAAUGACGGUACCCGGAGAAGAAGCCCCGGCUAACUUCGUG